rnacentral:rRNA from 1 species
GUCCUGGCAGUAAAACGGUGCACGUUUGGUGUGGGAGGAUUCGACCCCUUCCGCGCCGGAGCUAACGCGUUAAACGUGCCGCCUGGGGAGUACGGUCGCAAGAUUAAAACUCAAAGAAAUUGACGGGGCCCGCACAAGCGGUGGAGUAUGUGGCUUAAUUCGAUGCAACGCGAAGAACCUUACCUGGCCUUGACAUGCAUCUCUAAGCGCGUGAAAGCGCGUGACUCCCGAAAGGGAGAAUUUGCACAGGUGCUGCAUGGCUGUCGU